GAUAAGGAGGAAUAUUGAUUGAACCGUUUCAGUAUAGGAAGGUUCCCCAGACGCACAUACAGCUGCCUGGUGCAGCUGUUCAGCCUUGGGUGUCUCCCAGCUCGAGGUCCCAGGAAACUAUGGAAAGCUGCUGGAGAGGGACAGUGGAUCUGCUUUAAUCAUCUCCCUGCGGAUUGAUCGGCUCGCCAUGAUUAAAGCGGACUCCUCUCGGCAUCCUCAGGCUCUAAGCCCAAACAACAUUGUCAACAGAGGUGCAGGAUUCAAACCGACGGCUAAAUGAUGUUUGACAGCACAGAGACACACAGGAUAUGUAUCAUUGACACAUCAUCAACCUCACUCAACCACAUGGUGAAAGAAGAGCUGAACUGGCCAAUCAGGAUUCCUCAGAGAAGCUGAUGUGACGUCCCCAUAUUCACAUUCAAUGA